rnacentral:rRNA from 1 species
AACGAACGCUGGCGGCAUGCCUAACACAUGCAAGUCGAACGAGACCUUCGGGUCUAGUGGCGCACGGGUGCGUAACGCGUGGGAACCUGCCCUUAGGUUCGGAAUAACUCCCCGAAAGGGGUGCUAAUACCGGAUAAUGUCUUCGGACCAAAGAUUUAUCGCCUUUGGAUGGGCCCGCGUUGGAUUAGCUAGUUGGUAGGGUAAAAGCCUACCAAGGCGACGAUCCAUAGCUGGUCUGAGAGGAUGCUCAGCCACACUGGGACUGAGACACGGCCCAGACUCCUGCGGGAGGCAGCAGUGGGGAAUAUGGGACAAUGGGCGAAAGCCUGAUCCAGCAAGGCCGCGUGAGUGAUGAAGGCCUUAGGGUUGUAAAGCUCUUUUACCCGGGAUGAUAAUGACAGUACCGGGAGAAUAAGCUCCGGCUAACUCCGU